ACGGAGGGGGCUAGCGUUAUUCGGAAUUAUUGGGCGUAAAGGGCGCGUAGGUGGCCCGGUAAGUCAAAGGUGAAAUCCCUCGGCUCAACCGAGGAAUUGCCCUUGAAACUGCUGGGCUUGAGGCCGGGAGGGGGUAGCGGAAUUCCCAGUGUAGCGGUGAAAUGCGUAGAUACUGGGAGGAACACCGGUGGCGAAGGCGGCUACCUGGACCGGUUCUGACACUGAUGCGCGAAAGCGUGGGUAGCAAACA
rnacentral:rRNA from 1 species